rnacentral:rRNA from 1 species
UACGAAGGGGGCUAGCGUUGUUCGGAAUCACUGGGCGUAAAGCGCACGUAGGCGGAUGUGCCAGUCAGGGGUGAAAUCCCGGAGCUCAACUCCGGAACUGCCUCUGAUACAGCACGUCUUGAGUUCGAGAGAGGUGGGUGGAAUUCCUAGUGUAGAGGUGAAAUUCGUAGAUAUUAGGAAGAACACCGGUGGCGAAGGCGGCCCACUGGCUCGAUACUGACGCGUGAGGUGACGAAAGCGUGGGAGCAAACAGG